GGGCAAGACAGGUGAAGUUAGCUAACCGGAGCCGGUUAGCUAACUUCACUCCCCCUUAUUCGCACGAGUGCUCAACGGGCGUUUGCGAAGCU
rfam:Paraburkholderia caribensis strain Bcrs1W chromosome 1, complete sequence.